rnacentral:rRNA from 1 species
UACGUAGGGUGCGAGCGUUGUCCGGAAUUACUGGGCGUAAAGAGCUCGUAGGUGGUUUGUCGCGUUGUUCGUGAAAACCGGGGGCUUAACCCUCGGCGUGCGGGCGAUACGGGCAGACUUGAGUACUGCAGGGGAGACUGGAAUUCCUGGUGUAGCGGUGAAAUGCGCAGAUAUCAGGAGGAACACCGGUGGCGAAGGCAGGUCUCUGGGCCACUACUGACGCUGAGAAGCGAAAGCAUGGGGAGCGAACAGG